rnacentral:rRNA from 1 species
GGACCCGACUGCUAUCAGAGUGGGAAUAAGCCCUGCGAGUCAACAUAGCAAUAUGUGGCAUACGGGUCAGUAACACGUAGUCAACAUGCCCAGGGGACGUGGAUAACCUUGGGAAACUGAGGAUAAACCGCGAUAGGUCAUCACUUUUGGAAUGGGUAAUGACUUAAACCUAUAUGGCCCCUGGAUUGGACUGCGGCCGAUCAGGCUGUUGGUGAGGUAAUGGCCCCCCAAACCUGUAACCGGUACGGGCUUUGAGAGGAGGAGCCCGGAGAUGGGCACUGAGACAAGGGCCCCGGCCCUAUGGGGCGCAGCAGGCGCGAAACCUUUGCAAUAGGCGAAAGCUUGACAGGGUUACUUUGAGUGAUUUCCGUUAAGGAGAUUUUUUGGCACCUCUAAAAAAGGUGCAGAAUAAGGGGUGGGCAAGUUUGGUGU